CACCUUCAUUCUGCCGCUCAGUCCUGCAGAAUUUUAAACCCGGAAUCAAGGCACUGUGAGAGUUGUAACAUUUCUUAUAAACAACAGCCAGGACUAUUAACUGGAAGAGAGUGGUAUAUGCUUUUUCAUGCCACAUUUUCCAUCUCGUUUGAAUUAAAUUUUUGAUUAAGAGAUCCAAGAUGGUGAUUAACUUCAGACGAACAGAACGUCAACUCAGCUCCAGAAGAGAGAGGUUUCUUUCUGAGCUGUGAGACAUGCAGAUAAAUUUCAGGCACAUGAACCAGGAUAUUUUCACAGGAGUAUCUACUUGGGGCUUCAACAGAAGUGUUUCAUCAAUAUUACAACUUAGCCUAUACAAGACUGUCUCUAGUGUGGGCUUCCAGGAUUCAGUCUGUCGCCGGUGAAGAAUGGCACACAAAUCUGUCAUGCUGAUGAUGAUUCACGGGGUAGCAGUCAUGUCAUCCAAGUUUCUCAAAGUGCCAGGAAAGAGUGAUUUGUAAAAAUUACUAGUCUUUUUUUUUUUCUUCUUAAAAUAAGCAUGUCAAUUCACUGCUUAGCGGGAUUUCUCUUGGGUUAAUGCCAUUAGGCUAUACUAAUAGAUGAAAUAAUUUGCAUUUCAUAAAUUUCACAAUUGGAGGAACUGUAACCAAGCAGUACUUUCAUGUGGAAGUACUCCUCUGAAUCAAUGGAGACAAACUGUAAAGGCUAAAAUCGCCUUUAGGAUUCUACCACCGUAACUAUGACUACCAUCACCGUCACUAUUAAUGGAUAAUACUUAUCAAGUACUUGCCACGUAUAAGGCACUAUUCUAAGUGCUUUUCACAUAUUAACUCAUUUCCACCCUUAUGACGAUUGUAUAAGGUAGUACUAUUGUCGUCCCCAUGUUACAGGGAAAGAAACUGAGGCACAGAGAAGCAUUUUAAAUAGCUGAUCGAAUGCCAUAGACCUAGGCCAACCCAAGACCUGAACCCAGGCUCCAGAUUUCCUGCUCUUAACCACUCAGUUGCAAACAGGGCUUCAGGGAAGAAGGCAAUCCGUGCGCGGACGGGAUGAAGGAUAGACAGCCCCCUUCCCUGAAGCCAAGGCUUACGCAGAAUGUUUUUAUUUACUCAACAGUGUUAACAAGACCUGUCCUUUUGCAUUCUCCUUUCCUCCCCUCCCCUCCUCUCCCUCUUCUGUUUCUCCUCCUCCUCCACUUUCCCAUACAGAAGGCAUCCUCUCCUCCGUGUCUCACCAUCACCUACCCUGCAUCCUGCGUCGCCGCUCACCCCUUCCCAGCUUCCCUGCCUUCUCCAGAGCCAUGACCACUGCCCCAUCCCACCCUGGUUGCAGACAUUCAGCUCUUCGCACCAACUCCUGUGCUGUCUCUUCAGCAAGCUCUGUCUAGUCCUCCUUUAAAAUGGCCCUCGGAUUUACCCUUUUCAUAUCUACAAACUCCAGAGGAAUUCACGCUCUCAGCAC